GGGCGUUUAGCUCAGUUGGAAGAGCAUCUGGUUUGCAACCAGAAGGCCGGGGGUUCAAAUCCCCCAACGUCCACCA
rnacentral:tRNA from 1 species